UUUUAGUUAGAGACGGGGUUUCACCAUGUUUGCCAUGCUGGUCUUGAACUCCUGGGCUCAAGAAAACCUCCUCCCUCGACUUCCUAAAGUUCUGAGAAUACAGGUGUAAGCCACUGUGCCCAGGCAGGUUUGGUGGCAAUGAAUAGAAUUUUCUAUAUUAUCAUAUAAACACACACACACACACAAACACACAUACAAAUGCACAUAUGCACGCACACACACACAUAAUAGCAUUUUUUUUCCAGAAGGAAUGUGAUAUCGAUUUCUCAGAAACUGAUUGUUGCUAAAAUAUCUGUAACCUUUUUAUGUCCAAUAAAAAGAUUACCAGAAAGAAAAGCCUGUAAUUUUUGAAGCUCUCUUAAAAUUAUUUUCCCGUUGUGCUGAAGUAAUUUUGCCUUCAACCUUUCUUAACCCUACUAUAUAAUCUUGUCGUUUGAGUGUUGGGUCCAGAGAGGCAUCUAUAGUUUCAUGUUUUCCUUCUUCCUUUCCUAUGCUGAAGGGGUAUCAAUACAAAUUGUAAUUAUAUAUCUCACACACUUCUUACGAGGCAAGAGAAAGAAAAAUCGACAUGAUAGCACUAUUACAGCUUUGCGUUUCCAAAACAGGAAUGUUGGUACCAGACGGUGAGCUCGCCGCCUGAUGACGGCAUUGUGAAGGUGCAUGCUUCUGAGAGAAGAAAAGACUUUAUUGAAAGGUUAACUGGCAAGGAGGUAUGAGGCGAUUCUCAAAGCUGGGGAACGGGGCAGGUUUUAUAGGCAGAGGGUAGCCAUGAGGAAGCUAGAAAUGUGCAGCAAGGCAUGAGCUGAUUAAGUUAUGUAAAGAGGCAGUGUGAGCUCUUGGUUCUGCAGUUCCUACUGCAACAAAACAGGGCACCCCUCAAUCCUUUUUUUUUUUUGG